rnacentral:rRNA from 1 species
AAUCAACGCUGGCGGCGUGCCUCAGACAUGCAAGUCGAACGCGAAAGUCCCCUUCGGGGGACAAGUAGAGUGGCGCACGGGUGAGUAACACGUAGGUAAUCUACCUUCGGAUGGGGAAUAACAACCGGAAACGGUUGCUAAUACCGCAUAAUGCAGCGGCACCUAAUGGUGACAGUUGUUAAAGCGGGGGAUCGAAAGACCUCGCGUCUGAAGAGGAGCCUGCGGCGGAUUAGCAGUUGGUAAGGUAACGGCUUACCAAGGCGACGAUCCGUAGCCGGCCUGAGAGGGGCGGUCGGCCACACUGACACUGACAUACGGGUCAGACUCCUACGGGAGGCAGCAGUCGGGAAUUUUGGGCAAUGGGCGAAAGCCUGACCCAGCAACGCCGCGUGAAGGAUGAAAUCCC